AUUGCCCUAGUAACGGCGAGUGAAGCGGCAACAGCUCAAAUUUGAAAUCUGGCCCCCUCGGGGUCCGAGUUGUAAUUUGUAGAGGGUGUUCCGGCAUCGGGCCCGGGCUAGGUUCCUUGGAACAGGACGUCACAGAGGGUGAGAACCCCGUCUUCGCCCGGGAUUUCUUUGCCGUGUGGAACCCCUUCGACGAGUCGAGUUGUUUGGGAAUGCAGCUCUAAAUUGGAGGUAAAUUUCUUCUAAAGCUAAAUACCAGCCAGAGACCGAUAGCGCACAAGUAGAGUGAUCGAAAGAUGAAAAGCACUUUGGAAAGAGAGUUAAAAAGCACGUGAAAUUGUUGAAAGGGAAGCUCUUGCAGCCAGACUUGACCGCGGUCGUUCAUCCGUCCUUCUGGGCGGUGCACUCUUCCGCGGGCAGGCUAGCAUCAGUUUCGGGGGCCGGAUAAAGGCCUGGGGAAUGUGGCUCCUCUUCGGGGGAGUGUUAUAGCCCCGGGCGUAAUGCGGCCACCCGGGACUGAGGACCGCGCUCUGCUAGGAUGCUGGCGUAAUGGCUGCAAGCGACCCGUCUG
rnacentral:rRNA from 1 species